GCCUCCAAUACCUGGCUUCAGCCUAAGGCCUCCCGAACAGAACCUGUGGCCAGAGCUCCAACAGCCAUCUUGUGUCUUUGGGAUAACCUUGAGGAAGAAGCUAUGCACACCCAGUAGAAGGAAGGUUUGCCUGGAUCUUUAAAGCUGUGAAUGGACAUGUACAGCAACCUUGGCCUGAGAAUGAUAUGAUUACCAAGAGCUCAG